AGCGGUGUGGAGAAGGUCGGUUAACUCGCCAGUCUCAUAAGCUGGAGUCUCGCGUUCAAAUCGCGACACCGCCA
rnacentral:tRNA from 1 species